UCCCUCUUAGCUCAGUGGUAGAGCGCGCCACUCGUAUGGACCGAAUGGUGAGGUCAGUCGUUCAAUCCGGCUAGCGGGAA